rnacentral:rRNA from 1 species
GAUGAACGCUGGCGGCGUGCCUAAUACAUGCAAGCCGAGCGAACGGACGAGAAGCUUGCUUCUCUGAUGUUAGCGGCGGACGGGUGAGUAACACGUGGAUAACCUACCUAUAAGACUGGGAUAACUUCGGGAAACCGGAGCUAAUACCGGAUGAUAUUUUGAACCGCAUGGUUCAAAAGUGAAAGACGGUCUUGCUGUCACUUAUAGAUGGAUCCGCGCUGCAUUAGCUAGUUGGUAAGGUAACGGCUUACCAAGGCAACGAUGCAUAGCCGACCUGAGAGGGUGAUCGGCCACACUGGAACUGAGACACGGUCCAGACUCCUACGGGAGGCAGCAGUAGGGAAUCUUCCGCAAUGGGCGAAAGCCUGACGGAGCAACGCCGCGUGAGUGAUGAAGGUCUUCGGAUCGUAAAACUCUGUUAUUAGGGAAGAACAUAUGUGUAAGUAACUGUGCACAUCUUGACGGUACCUAAUCAGAAAGCCACGACUAACUACGUG